rnacentral:rRNA from 1 species
UACGGAGGGUGCAAGCGUUAUCCGGAUUCACUGGGUUUAAAGGGUGCGUAGGUGGGUUGGUAAGUCAGUGGUGAAAUCUCCGGGCUUAACCUGGGAACUGCAGUCGAGACUGUCUAGCUAGAGUAUGGGAGAGGGAAGUGGAAUUUCAGGUGUAGCGGUGAAAUGCGUAGAUAUCUGAAGGAACAUCAGUGGCGAAAGCGACUUCCUGGACCAAUACUGACGCUCAUGUGCGAAAGCGUGGGGAGCAAACAGG